CACGUAGGGUGCGAGCGUUGUCCGGAAUUAUUGGGCGUAAAGAGCUCGUAGGCGGUGUGUCGCGUCGGCCGUGAAAACCUGCAGCUUAACUGUGGGCUUGCGGUCGAUACGGGCAUCACUGGAGUUCGGCAGGGGAGACUGGAAUUCCUGGUGUAGCGGUGAAAUGCGUAGAUAUCUGGAGGAACACCGGUGGCGAAGGCGGCAUCCUGGACCGGCAUUGACGCUGAGGAGCGAAAGCCAGGGGAGCAAACGGG
rnacentral:rRNA from 1 species